rnacentral:rRNA from 1 species
GCGGCGUGCCUAAUACAUGCAAGUCGAGCGCGGGAAGCAAGCAGAACCCCUUCGGGGGUGACGCAUGUGGAACGAGCGGCGGACGGGUGAGUAACACGUGGGCAACCUGCCUGUAAGACUGGGAUAACUCCGGGAAACCGGGGCUAAUACCGGAUAAUACGUUUUCUUGCAUAAGGAGACGUUAAAAGGCGGCGCAAGCUGUCACUUACAGAUGGGCCCGCGGCGCAUUAGCUAGUUGGUGGGGUAAAAGCCUACCAAGGCGACGAUGCGUAGCCGACCUGAGAGGGUGAUCGGCCACACUGGGACUGAGACACRGCCCAGACUCCUACGGGAGGCAGCAGUAGGGAAUCUUCCGCAAUGGACGAAAGUCUGACGGAGCAACGCCGCGUGAGUGAAGAAGGUUUUCGGAUCGUAAAACUCUGUUGUUAGGGAAGAACAAGUGCCGUUCAAAUAGGGCGGCACCUUGACGGUACCUAACCAGAAAGCCCCGGCUAACUACGUGCCAGCAGCCGCGGUAAUACGUAGGGGGCAAGCGUUGUCCGGAAUUAUUGGGCGUAAAGCGCGCGCAGGCGGUCUUUUAAGUCUGAUGUGAAAGCCCACGGCUUAACCGUGGAGGGCCAUUGGAAACUGGAGGACUUGAGUAC